rnacentral:rRNA from 1 species
CCUACGGGAGGCAGCAGUAGGGAAUUUUCGGCAAUGGGGGGAACCCUGACCGAGCAACGCCGCGUGAACGAAGAAGUUAUUCGUAAUGUAAAGUUCUUUUAACAGGGAAGAAAGAGAAAUUUGACGGUAUCUGAAGAAUAAGCUCCGGCUAAUUACGUGCCAGCAGCCGCGGUAAUACGUAGGGAGCGAGCGUUAUCGGGAAUUAUUGGGCGAAAAGGGUGCGUAGAUGGCAUAGAAAGUCUUUGGUAAAAAUGCUGGGCUAAACCCAGUAGGGCAAAAGAUACUGCAAAGCUAGAGUAUGAGAGAGGCAAGUGGAACUACAUGUGUAGCGGUAAAAUGCGUAAAUAUAUGUAAGAACACCAGUGGCGAAGGCGGCUUGCUGGGUCGAUACUGACAUUGAGGCACGAAAGCGUGGGGAGCAAACAGGAUUAGAUACCCUUGUAGUC